CCAGACGCAGCUCCGCGCAAUCGAAAGAUGAAGCGUUGUUCGGAGC
rfam:Hafnia alvei FB1, complete genome.